AGGGAUAAACGCUGGCGGCGUGCAUAACACAUGCAAGUCGAACGAUGAAACUUAGAUGAUUUCUUCGGAAUGAACUUAAGCGGAUUAGUGGCGAACGGGUGAGUAACACGUGAGUAACCUGCCUUACACAAGGGGAUAGCCUUUGGAAACGAAGAAUAAUACCCUAUAACGUCAAUUUAUCGCAUGAUAGAAUGACCAAAGAUUUAUCGGUGUAAGAUGGACUUGCGUCUGAUUAGCUAGUUGGUGAGAUAAAGGCCCACCAAGGCAACGAUCAGUAGCCGGCUUGAGAGAGUGUACGGCCACAUUGGGACUGAGACACGGCCCAAACUCCUACGGGAGGCAGCAGUGGGGAAUUUUGCACAAUGAGGGAAACCCUGAUGCAGCGACGCCGCGUGAUUUAGAAGGCCUUCGGGUUGUAAAAAUCUUUUUUAUGGGAUGAAAAUGACAGUACCAUAAGAAUAAGGUCCGGCUAAAUACGUGCCAGCAGCCGCGGUAAUACGUAUGGACCGAGCGUUGUCCGGAAUCAUUGGGCGUAAAGGGUACGUAGGCGGCCCAGUAAGUUAGAAGUGAAAUAAUAUAGCUCAACUAUAUAAAGCUUUUAAAACUGCUAGGCUUGAGAGAUGGAAGGGAAAGUGGAAUUCCUAGUGUAGCGGUGAAAUGCGCAGAUAUUAGGAAGAAUACCGGUGGCGAAGGCGACUUUCUGGUCAUCAUCUGACGCUGAGGUACGAAAGCGUGGGUAGCAAACAGGAUUAGAUACCCUGGUAGUCCACGCUGUAAACGAUGAGUGUUAGGUUCUUGGAAUAAUCUGGGAGCCGCAGCUAACGCAUUAAACACUCCGCCUGGGGAGUACGCACGCAAGUGUG
rnacentral:rRNA from 1 species